rnacentral:lncRNA from 1 species
AGGGAGUGCCAAUAUGGCCAAUACAUAGCGUCAGCAAUCCAGGUUUUAUAUACGUCAAUCGUCUAAACCCAUGCAUCGCCUCAAAAUGACAUUUUUUAGGAUGUGGUUGUAUACGGUAAUGUCUACUACGCAUGCCCUCAACGGUGUUUAGAAGGGAGGAUAUAAAGUUGGAUCUAUUUUUCCUUUGUCAUAUUGACGCUUGGCUUAUCUACGGUGUUCAUACGUAUUGGUUGUCGUUUAUAUCAAACGGUGUUUCGUUAUCCUGAUUUCAGCGACUGCACGGUACGUAACGCUAGCUAGAAUUACUAGCCUAGCUGCCACUUGAGCCAAAUAUGUGCUUGAGCUGUAGCUUAACGUUAGCGAGCUAGCUAGCGUUGUAUUCAAGAAGGGAGCUUUAUAAGGUCGGAUAGCGACGAUCGUUAGUUAGCUGGCUUUGUACUGUAACGUUAGUGUUGCCACAUAGUAUGGUCUAGCCUUAGUGGUGUUGUAAUAGUGGUCGAGUUAGCUGGAUUUAUAAAGCUUAUGGUAGCAAUCAAGCUAACGUUAGCUAGCUAGCUAACCCUCAAGUGUGGUAGCUAGGUCGCGCGGUAAAGCUGAGUUCACAUUCACGGUGUGGUAGGUGCUACUUGUUUUUCCUCGCGCCAUACGACGUUAUGCUCUCUUGCUCAACUGCUGCAUUUGUUGGUAGUGAGUAGCUAGGCUACUAUCUUAAUUACUAGCAAGAACAAUUAUUAUCCUUCAGAAGAUAGCUAACGUUAGGUACUUGGUUUAAUUACAGUUGAAUAUCUGCCUCGUCCAGUUUCCCAUAUCCAUCGUGUGAUCGUCAAGGCAGCGAACCCAUGGCGGACUCGGUGGAGACGUUCCAGACCCACCUAACCUCUGUCAUGGACAGUUUGAUCCGCGCAUCGGUGUGCGAGAUCACCAAACUGUUCCAGGACACGGUGAAUGACUAUCUGGUGGAAAUAUCGCUGAACAGGAAGGAAAUGGACGCUCUGAAACUCCGACUCCGACUGACGGAGAACAAACUGAGAAAUGAACGCAAGUACGGGAUGGGGUGGGCAGAGAAUCGCCGCAAUGCUGGUUUGAUAGUGUCUGAGGACGGUGGGCGGAAAAAGCGGAAAAUUGAAGUGCCUCGAGGAAAGCAGACGCUGGGCCUUGCCUUUGGAGGCGCGGGGGAGGAAGGAGGAGGAGCAGCCAGGGUAGUAACGGGGGGAGGGUGGAAGGAGGCACGCGAGCUGUACCUCAUUCAGUUCCCCGGGGAGGAAGGAGAACUAGAGGAGGAGGGGGGCUGUGUUUCGGGAGAGGGGGAGGAGACGGACAACAUCAAAGAGGAG